GCGGUCGUAGUCCAGUCUGGUCUAGGACGCCAGCCCCCCAAGCUGGUGACCCGGGUUCAAAUCCCGGCGACCGCA
rnacentral:tRNA from 1 species